AACGAACGCUGGCGGCAGGCUUAACACAUGCAAGUCGAGCGCCCCGCAAGGGGAGCGGCAGACGGGUGAGUAACGCGUGGGAAUCUACCGAGCCCUGCGGAAUAGCUCCGGGAAACUGGAAUUAAUACCGCAUACGCCCUACGGGGGAAAGAUUUAUCGGGGUUUGAUGAGCCCGCGUUGGAUUAGCUAGUUGGUGGGGUAAAGGCCUACCAAGGCGACGAUCCAUAGCUGGUCUGAGAGGAUGAUCAGCCACAUUGGGACUGAGACACGCCCCAAACUCCUACGGGAGGCAGCGGUGGGGAAUAUUGGACAAUGGGCGCAAGCCUGAUCCAGCCAUGCCGCGUGAGUGAUGAAGGCCCUAGGGUUGUAAAGCUCUUUCAACGGUGAAGAUAAUGACGGUAACCGUAGAAGAAGCCCCGGCUAACUUCGUGCCAGCAGCCGCCGUAACA
rnacentral:rRNA from 1 species